CACUGCUGGGGUCCCAGCACCCAACUGAAUGAGGCUCCAGCUGUGAGCUCCGCUCCUGCAAGAGCUGGGACCAGCCCGGCAGGGACAAGGAUGAGGAGCAGCACGCAGAGCAGUGUCCCAAAGUUGAAGAUGACCAAGGCUACGAGAGCACCCAACUGCACAGCACCUUCGGGAGCAAGUUGAUGGUGCUACAACAUGUCUCCAAGGAGAUACAGGUGCAACAUCUGAUGGAGAUGCUCCAGAUGCUACCAGGGACAACUUUGGCAAGAAACCCAUCCAGCCAAACCUCAGAUAGCACUGUAGGCACUCUAUCCGUGACAUCAGGGUGUUACAAAGGGUGCUAAGAGGAGCUCCAGCACAUGGCUAAGACAGCAAAACUCACAUCAGCAUUCCUGCAGGAAGCUUAAUUAGACUCAGCAAACCAAAAACCUGAGCAACAGGUAAUAUGGGGAAAGAUAAUCUCUUACAAUCUCCCAUUGAAGCCAAGCAAACGAAGGUAAGGGUGAGGGUGUGGAUGGCAUAACUCAGCCCUGCCAACACAGGCUCGCCCAAAGUGUCUUCACACCCUCUUAUCCCCGAGUAAACACUGUGGAUGGAGCAGAGGACAUCGUGGGGACACCAGAGCAAGCAUCCAGCCAUGCCAGGAGGGCUUCUGUGAUUUUUCCAAGCCUCCCUGCGGGGCACACAGUAUCCCAACCCACGGGGCAUUGCUCGCAAGCCUUCAUCACCAUCCUUCUGCCUUCAGCAGGCUUCCUCCUACUCACCGAGCCACCUACAGCCCUCAGCACCCGGCUUACCAUGAAAACACUAUUUGGCAAUAACACUAACACGCCUCAGCUUUACGAGCCGCUCUCUCACAGCUUGCAGGGUGCUUCCCAAAGCGUCUUCAUUUCCAAACGCUGCCCAAGAGGCAGCAGACCCAAGCAAACACAGCGAGCAGCAGCGGGAAGGACGGGCACAGAACAAGCAUCCCCUGAGCGCGCCAUACCGCCAAACAUCACCAAAAUGAAAAAAAAAAAAAUCACCAGGGGAAAAUCACCGGAGCAUGUGAAGGGCAGCCUGCAAGGCCAGCUGCAGCAGUCUCCAUGGGACCAGAGGCAUUAACGCUUUGCCCACAGGUUUCCUUCCCAUCACUGCUUCCUUCUCUGAAUGUCAGAUUUAUGGCUUGGGAAGAUUAAGGUGAAAAGUCACAGAGUCAGCACUCAGGGGGCUAUCCCAGGGCUCAGCUCCCAGAGAGUGAAGAGCUGAAAUCCCCACCAAGUCACUCACUUCAAAUGGCGCUGCAAUGAAAUAAACAGCACCGUGCUCCCGUGAGAUCCCUGCUUCAAAAUAUAAAACCCCAAAGCCUCCCAUCCGCGGACAAGCCAGUGAUUAGGCUAUUAGCUUAAUUAAUGCGGCCACACUUGCACAGUAGCAGGUGCCUUUCAAACACCCAGCAUUUGUACAGCCUUUCCUGCUUACAGCCAGCAAUAAGCGGAUGGGUGUACAAAGGCACGUUGCUAAAGAAAGGUGCACGGCCGCGCUCGCACCUCUCCGCACGUGCGCCGAGCUCUCAUUAGGUUAAUACGAAUUUCCUGGGCUGCAGGCCCCAUGCUGGGGAUUAUCUGCUUCUUACUGAGGUAACCACUUUAGCAGCACGGAAUCAGGGCGCUUCCAUCCCCGCUGGAAGCUCCCGUGACUCCCCGCUCACUAAAUAGGUCACCCCACGUCCUGGGAGCCCCCCUACCCCCGCGGCGCUGCGGGAGGAUGCUGCACGGAGCCACCUGCAGGGUGCAAACCCCAGUUCUGCAUGGGCACGGGUCU